AAAUUGAAGAGUUUGAUCAUGGCUCAGAUUGAACGCUGGCGGCAGGCCUAACACAUGCAAGUCGAGCGGUAGCACAGAGAGCUUGCUCUCGGGUGACGAGCGGCGGACGGGUGAGUAAUGUCUGGGAAACUGCCUGAUGGAGGGGGAUAACUACUGGAAACGGUAGCUAAUACCGCAUAACGUCGCAAGACCAAAGUGGGGGACCUUCGGGCCUCAUGCCAUCAGAUGUGCCCAGAUGGGAUUAGCUAGUAGGUGGGGUAACGGCUCACCUAGGCGACGAUCCCUAGCUGGUCUGAGAGGAUGACCAGCCACACUGGAACUGAGACACGGUCCAGACUCCUACGGGAGGCAGCAGUGGGGAAUAUUGCACAAUGGGCGCAAGCCUGAUGCAGCCAUGCCGCGUGUGUGAAGAAGGCCUUCGGGUUGUAAAGCACUUUCAGCGGGGAGGAAGGCGAUAAGGUUAAUAACCUUGUCGAUUGACGUUACCCGCAGAAGAAGCACCGGCUAACUCCGUGCCAGCAGCCGCGGUAAUACGGAGGGUGCAAGCGUUAAUCGGAAUUACUGGGCGUAAAGCGCACGCAGGCGG
rnacentral:rRNA from 1 species